rnacentral:lncRNA from 1 species
GAAUGUCUGUUUAUUGGCUGCUGCUAAUGUGGAUGAAUUUGAUGGCUGAUAUUUCCUGUUAUAUGAAUGAAUGUGUAGGGAGAAGACAUAUGGGCAGCUGCAGUUAGAGAAGUCAAAGAAGAAACUGGAGUAAGUAGACUACAAAGUCCUAAGCCUUUCUUGAUUGAACUUCAACUUCAUAUAUGAUUCUCGUUUGCUAACCCGUCAGCUCUGGUUUUCGGCCUUUGUUUUCAGAUUGAUGCGGAAUUCGUUGAAAUGCUAACGUUUAGGUAAAAUCAAUCACAGCUACGAAAGCAUCAAACAGCAUCUGAAAUCUCUUUCGAAUCAUUAGCUAACAAAGUUACUAUCUUUUGCUGAUUUACUUACACAGGCAAAGUCACAAAUCAUUCUUCAGCAAAUCAGACCUGAUGUUUGUCUGCGUGUUGCGACCACUUUCUGCUACCAUCACUGCUCAACAAUCCGAGAUCGAAGCAGCCAAGGUAAGUGGUGUAACUUCUGUUCGACAUAUGUAUGAGUUCGAUAAUACCGUCUCAUGAUCUGAUUUUCAUACCCCAACGGCUUUUCUGCAGUGGAUGCCGGUCAACGAGUAUGUAGAGCAACCUUACAAUCAGAAGCAUGGACAAUUCAGAUCCAUAGCAGAGAUUUGCAAGGCGAAAGUGGAAGGUGCAUAUGCGGGGUUCUCUGCUAUGCCAGUGAAAUCAGCUUCAGGGAAGAAGGUUGACCUCUACUAUAACAAGCAGCAAGUUCAGAACAAACUAUGAAGACAAAUAUAGAUCUCGAAAUACUGACUCACCUGGGUUAGUCAAACUGAAUGGUGUUAGAACCCGGGUCUCACUCGAAAUUCUCAUGUUCUUACUUGACAGUCUUAUUUACAUAUUGCGUAGCAAAAGAUGUUGUCAGUUGAAGCAUCAUCGUCUUAAUAGUAGUAUAUUGAAAUUUGAUUACAGGGUAAAAGAAUAUGAAAUAUGUCUCAUUUGUUUGUUGUGUCUUUUCAAUUCUUGUUCUGGUAUGUGAAAGAAAGCGCAUAACCUACCAUUUGGUACCAUGUCCUCCAAGAAUUACAGUUUAUAAUAUAAACACUCCACUGGUGUGAAUUCUGCAGAAACUUGCUGAUGUUUCUUUGAAGGUCUACUCCCCCUGUUACCUUGCAUGUCUUGAGCCCAAGUAUAAUCAUUACAAGGACUACUAUAAUCAUUAUACACCUAUUGAAAAUUACUAAUCAAUUAAUCAUAAAAUUUUAUCCAAAAAUAUUACAAUUUCAUAAAAAUAGACUAAUGGAGCAUGGGCAAAAGAAAAAGAAAAAGUGUAAUUUUCUAUAUAUUUUUACCAACCAGAUUAGGUUGAGGAAAAAAUCAACUAUGUCAUAGUCAGUAAUGGAUUUAAAAUUGCAAUCCUGGUUCCACCAAUCAGCCCCUUAUUCCAAGGUUAUCUUUUUAUUAAGACUCAAAGACGACUUGUGCAACCAAUCAGAAUUCAUGAUUCAUUGUUAUGUUAUCCUUGUUGACUUGUUCCAAGUCUUUUAAUACUAAUUUCCGAUUCCAGACCAGCUCAUGUUAGAUUUUAAUAUUAAUUUCCAUUUCCUGAUCCACCAUUAAAGGAAGCUCGGCUUCAGUGUAACCUAGUACUGAAUGCCUGCUUGCAGUUCACUGAGGAUUCUUCAUAAGCAGCAAGCUAAGUGAGUUUCUCUUCUUCCUAAGGAGCAUGGCGUCGUCUUCAGAAACUGCAGUUUCCGCGGAUGCCAAUGUUCAUGGAGUGGAGGGGAUUCAACUGCUGGAGGCAAGUGCGGAUCCGUAUGGUGGGCUAACCAUGGAAGUCAAGGAGCCUAUGGAAGCUGCUGAUUUCGCAGCUCGGCUCAGGUAUUCCAUCUCCAAAUGGAUUGAACAGGUACUGAUAUGGUUUUUGAUUUUGAAACCCCUAGUCAUGCAAGUUUUGAUUGAAGCUUGUUUAAUUUUUAAAUUUCUUUGUUUAGGAGAAGAAGGGUAUUUGGAUCAAAUUACCCACUCGCCAGUCUAACCUAGUCCAUUCAGUUAUUGAGGUAAUCUAUUCAUUAUUUUUGGUCUUUUCAUCAUCAGGGUUUAGUUGUUCUUUCUUUGUGUGUUAAAAAAAGACUGGGCUGGGGAUUUUGGUUACAGGAAGGGUUUAGGUUUCACCAUGCUGAAUCGGACUACGUGAUGCUGGUGCGUUGGCUGCCUGAGAAUCUUCCUGAUACUCUCCCCAUCAAUGCUACUCACCGGAUUGGCGUUAAGGCGCUCGUGGUCAACGAAAACAAAGAGGUAAACCGUUGUUCUUCGUUCAAAGUUACUGUGUUAUCAGGAAGAUGAUUGACUGUGUUUGAUUUGGCAGGUGCUGGUAGUUACAGAGAAACUUGGCAAAUUGGCAGGCAUUGAGUAUUGGAACUUGCCAACCGGUGUAGCCCACGAGGUAAGAGGCUGGAGAAUCGUCUAAUCGAAUGUCUGUUUUGGCUGCUACAAAUGUUGAUGAAAUUGAUGGCUGAUAUUCUGUUAAAAUCAAUGUGCAGGGAGAAGACAUUUGGGCAGCUGCAGUUAGAGAAGUCAAAGAAGAAACUGGAGUAAGUUAGAUUAGAAAGUCUUCAGCUUCUUGAUUAAACUCGCUAGUAAAAAGUUUCGAACUUUCAUAUAUGAUUCUCGUUGCCAAUCUGUCAUCUCUGGCUUCCGUCCUUUGUUUUUCAGAUUGAUGCUGAAUUUGAAGAAAUGAUAACAUUCAGGUAAAAAAUCAGUACUGCAAGGUCUGAACUCUCUUUCGAACCAUUAGCUAACGUCGAAAGCCUCGGUCUUUUUGCUGAUUUACUUCCACAGGCAAAGUCACAAGUCAUACUUCAGCAAAUCAGACCUGAUGUUUGUCUGCCUGUUGCGACCAGUUUCUGCUGACAUCACUAUUCAAGAAUCAGAGAUUGUAGCAUCCAAGGUAAACUUUCUGGUUAACAUAUGAUUGAUAGUUAACAAUUCGAGAAUAACCGUGUCUUAAUAUC